rnacentral:rRNA from 1 species
UACGAAGGGUGCAAACGUUGCUCGGAAUUAUUGGGCGUAAAGCGCACGUAGGCGGCUUAGCAAGUCGGAAGUGAAAUCCCACGGCUCAACCAUGGAAGUGCUUUCGAAACUGCUGAGCUUGAGUACGAAAGAGGAUCGCGGAAUUCCCGGUGUAGAGGUGAAAUUCGUAGAUAUCGGGAGGAACACCAGUGGCGAAGGCGGCGAUCUGGGUCGAUACUGACGCUCAUGUGCGAAAGCGUGGGGAGCAAACAGG